ensembl:lncRNA
CAAAUUGCAAAGGAGAGUUCCGUACCUGUAAGUUAGUGGCUUUGGGGUUCCACAAGACCAGAGAGUGUGAAAUUUUGUCCACCUGUCACUGCUGCAAGUUGUCCAGAAACUUCUAAAACUUGCUUUGUGAUUGCCGAAGGAAAUGUUGGCCUCAUUGCCAGUUUUCAGGUUCUGUUCUCUAAGCCAUGACAACCUAGAAUUUUUCUCCCUGCAGCAUCUGCACCUGACAAGGUGAGCUGAACCCCGUGGUAAGCUGACUGAUACAUCUGGUGGCUGUUGAUGAGACCCUGGGCUGGGAAAUGAUUAAAUUUUUCUCCCCCAAAUACUGAAAUGUUCCAGGUGAAUAGUCCCCAUGAGAGUUUUGAUUAAGUGAUUAAGAUCAAGGAAAACCCUUUCACAUACUUUGACUUAGAAAAAAAUAUUGGAGAACUGGGCUUCACUUUUAUUCGGAAUAUCUUUCUGUUCUAAGCAAGUUUUAUUCCCAUUUCUUCACCAUUUAAAAGUAAUAACAUAGUAAUAACUGUGAUAUUGUUGGCUAAAGUUAUACCAGAAACUAUUAGAAGCACUUUAAAUACAUUAAUCCAUAUAAUCUUCACAAUUAGUCUAUGAGGCACACAAAAGUGUUAUUAUCCUAUUAUUGAUAUUCUGAUUCUGAUGAUUGAUAUUCUGAUUUUGAGAUUAGGCCACUUUGCAUGGAUAUUUAGAGUUUAUGAUGGAUGUUCUCAUGUAUGAUCAUUUUAUCACAAGAAUCUGCUGGAGUAGUCAAGGGAUAAUAUUAUUCCUUCAUCAUUGGGAGGUUGUGGGAUAUAACAGCUGAGAGCAUGCACUUUGACCUCAGAAUUAUAUGGGUUUGAAUUGUGGUUCUGAAAUCUGAGCCUAAGUUACUUCAUCAGCCAAAUGUGUGUUGAAAUGUCAUGUCAUGGGACUUUCAUGAGGAUUAAAUGACUUAUUGUAAACAAAGCACAUCACACUGCAUUGAAUAAAUAUUGACAAUUGUUAGCUAGUUUUCCU